CACAUCUGGUCACCUCCAUGUCUGAUCACCUGCACAUCUGGUCACCUCCAUGUCUGAUCACCUCCACAUCUGGGCAUCUGGGCAUCUUCAUGUCUGUUCACCUCCACAUCUGGUCACCUCUGAAUCUGAUCACUUGCAUGUCUGAUGAUCUCCAUGUGUGGUCACCUCCAUAUGGGAUUACCUCCAUGUCUGAUCACCUCCACAUCUGGUCACCUCCAUGUCUGGUCACCUCCACAUCCACUCACCUCCAUAUCCGAUUGGGUCCUCAUUCUCCACCACCCACAGGUGAUGUCUCCUUGCUCUGCCUUCAGCAGGAACUGGUAGGUCAGUUUAACUGGAAUCCUCUCACCCCUGAUGUUCCCGUUAGUCGUUUUCCAUCCACAGAUCCCACCUACUCCUUGGCAAUAAACCCCCUCUUGGUCACCUCUUUGGAGUUGAGUCUGGCUCUGUAUACGGGUUGCUUUUCCCAUAUUGCAAUAGUCCCAAAUGAAAUCUGCUUUUACCAGUUUAACUUUUUCCAUACUCUAUUUUUUCUUUAACAGCAGUAGUAAUAGUAGCAGUUGUUGUUGUAGCAGUAAUUGGAAUAGGCAUAGUCAGGGGAGUAGCCGUAGUAGCAACAGUGGAAGUCGUUGUUGUGUAGCCGUUGCUCUGGUAGUUGUUGUGGUACCAACGGUAUUUAUUACAGCACUAGUUGUAGAUGUUGCAGUCAGAAUACUUGUAAAACCAGUUGUGGUGGUAGUAGUUGAAGUAGUACCAGGGGUUUUGGUAGGAGUAGUAGCCAUCAUCAUGGUAGCCGUUUAGCAGCGGUAAUAGCAGCAGGUGAGGUGACAGUCAUUGUAGUAGAACUGGUUGUAGUCAUGGCAGUUGUACCAUGGUAGCAGCUGUGAUGGGGGUGCCCGUGCUGGUGGUCAUGAUUAUAACUGUAGUAAAUGUUAGUAGUGGUUGUGUGAUGGUGACAGUGGGACUAAUCAUUGGACUCAUUGUAGCACUAGCGAUACUUGUAGGAUACUAGUGAUACUUUGUAGCAGAUGUUGUGUAAGUGAGAGCUGUAGUGAUAACUGCAAGAGCUGUGGUGGUAGGAGUACUAAUUGGUGUAAUAACUGUAGUUGUGGCACUAGAGUAGUGUUUGUCUUAGUAGCAGAUUAAGUGCUGUAAGCGUAGAGUUAAGUAGUUCUUGUGGUGGGUCUAGUAGUUCUAAUUAUAAUAAUUGCAGUCGUACCACUAGUAGUAAUUGUUGUAGUGUUUGUAGUAAGAGGAGUUGUGAGAUAACUGUAGUACCGCAUGGAAAGGUUGUGGUGGGGGUGGCAGUAGAACUCAUUGUAGUCGUAGCACUGGUAUAAUUGUAGAAGUUUGCGGUAGUCGUGGUUGCAGUUUUUGUAGCAGUGGCAGUUGUACUAGUUAUGGCAGUCAAAGAAGUUUGAUAAUGGGAGUUCCCAUCGUGGCUCAGUGGAAACAAAUCUGACUAGUAACCAUGAGGAUGCGGGUUCGAUCCCUGGCCUCAGUCAGUGCACUGAGGAUCCAGCAUUGCCGUGAGCUGUG
rnacentral:lncRNA from 1 species